UUUCCGUAGGUGAACCUGCGGAAGGAUCAUUAUUGAAACUUAAAUCGUAGCAUAGAAACCUGUUGCUGACCUGUUGAAAGGUAUGUGCACGUUCGACGUGUUGCGUUCUAUUCUUCCACCUGUGUACCUUUGUAGACUUGAUUAACUUUCGCUCUCGAGUGGUUAUAAUGGUUGCUUUCGAGCUCCCUUUGUCUAUCAAGACUAUGUCUAUCUAAUCUCUUGUAUGUCUAGAAUGUCUUUUUUAUGGGACGCAAGUCCUUUAAAUCUUAUACAACUUUCAACAACGGAUCUCUUGGCUCUC
rnacentral:misc_RNA from 1 species